GAUGAACGCUGGCGGUAUGCUUAACACAUGCAAGUCGAACGGACUCUUCGGAGUUAGUGGCGGACGGGUGAGUAACGCGUGAGAAUCUGGCUUUGGGUUCGGGACAACCACUGGAAACGGUGGCUAAUACCGGAUGUGCCGAGAGGUAAUAGAGAAAUUGCCUGAAGAUGAGCUCGCGUCUGAUUAGCUAGUUGGUGAGGUAAAGGCUCACCAAGGCAGCGAUCAGUAGCUGGUCUGAGAGGAUGACCAGCCACACUGGGACUGAGACACGGCCCAGACUCCUACGGGAGGCAGCAGUGGGGAAUUUUCCGAAAUGGGCGAAAGCCUGACGGAGCAAUACCGCGUGAGGGAAGAAGGCUCUUGGGUUGUAAACCUCUUUUCUUAGGGAAGAACAAAAUGACGGUACCUAAGGAAUCAGCAUCGGCUAACUCCGUG
rnacentral:rRNA from 1 species